rnacentral:lncRNA from 1 species
AAACGAAACGAACGAGCUAAGCAAGUAAAUCGUAAAGAGUAUCUCUCUCUCUCUCUACGGGUGGGAUUUUGUAAUAGUAGUCGUACUAGUAGUCGUACUAGUAAUACUAGUAACAGAACCGACGCAAAAGUUUGUCCUGGGGAGUUUUAUUAGCCGAUCGUCGGUAGUUAAGUCUGUAAACUAUUACAUUUUUACGUUCGCUUUUAUCGUGGCAAUCCGCGAAGCCUUACUCGCAUAACUCUCAAAUAUCCUACCAAUGCUGAGAUUACGCCAGGAUAUACAUACAUACCUACAUACGUGCACGUAUAUAUACAUUAGGUAUACAUCUAUGUAUCAGUAUAUGGACCUAUCUAUCUAUCUAAUACAUGUGUGCAUUUCAGAUUACACGAUAUGGAUCUUUAAAUCAUAUCCUUGGCAAUAGGGACGAGGACAUUCUCACGCGAUUCCUCGAUAUAUCGUAAAUCGAAUAUGUCGUAAAUGUUUUCGAAAAUUAUUCCAGAGUAAAAGAAACAAUAACAACAACAACGACAAAAAAUAAAGGAAAACGGAAUAUUAUUGUAACGCGUUUUACAACGUCGUAGUUGAUUACCUUUUUUUUCUUCGACGUUGGAAGAAUUCUGAAACGGAUGGAACGAAAAAGGAGGAAUAAUAAUAAAUGAGUCCAAAUAAUGAAUAUGCAGUUUUAAAGGAAGAACAGCAUGGAUGAGUAGAAACAACAGGAACGAGGAAAGAUCGGGGGAGUGUAAAUAAGAGGAAAAGGACGUUUUAGAUAGGCGUAUAAGGCUUGCCUACAGGCUCGUGGCUCGAAAGGCUUAUACCGUUAAUUAACAUACCGAGCAAGGGUGCCAGGCGUGGCAGAGUAACUGGGGCUGCUAUGUUCCUCUAACAUCGCUAUGAGAGGAAAGGAAGGAAACUGCUUGAACAUUAUCGGGACAACUUUGUCGUAGUUGUUACGACUCCUUUUCGCCAGGAUCGAGAAUAAGAAUCUUUCGAAUUGAAGGA